GGGCGAUUAGCUCAGCUGGUCAGAGCGCCUGCCUUACACGCAGGGGGUCGGAGGUUCGAAUCCUCCAUCGCCCA
rnacentral:tRNA from 1 species